GUUUACAACUUUAGAAUCUUAUUCAUCUUGGCCUUUCCAUCAUUCCAAAAAUUCAACAUACAUGACUUCAUUGUUUCUUACAUUGAUGUUCCAAAACAGCAAUCAAAGGAGGACUCUGGAAUCUUUGUAACAUGCUUUAUGGAAACAUAUGAUGGUACAAGCAUUGCUAAGUUCAAUAUUGCAGACAUCCAAGCAUUAAGAGAGAAAAAGCUAUUUCACUUGAUUUUCAGCAAGGAGAAUAAAGCUAAAGCAGAUAUAAUUUCAACAUUUA